rnacentral:misc_RNA from 1 species
GAUGAAGAACGCAGCGAAAUGCGAUACUUGGUGUGAAUUGCAGAAUCCCGUGAACCAUCGAGUCUUUGAACGCAAGUUGCGCCCGAAGCCAUUUGGUUGAGGGCACGUCUGCCUGGGCGUCACAUAUCGUUGCCCGAUGCCUAUUGCACUGUGAUAGGAAAUUCUAGGGCGAAAGAUGGCUUCCCGUGAGCGUUGUUGCCUCGCGGUUGGUUGAAAGUUGAGUCCUUGGUAGGGUGUGCCAUGAUAGAUGGUGGUCGAGUUUGCACGAGACCGAUCAUGUGUGCGCUCCCCAAAAUAUGGACUCUUUGACCCCACAUGCGUCUUUUGACGCUCAUGACGAGACCUCAGGUCAGGCGGGGCUACCCGCUGAGUUUAAGCAUAUCAAUAAGCGGAGGA